GAUGAACGCUAGCGGCAGGCCUAAUACAUGCAAGUCGAGCGGCAAGUUGAGAAGCAAUUCGAGACCUAGAGCGGCGUACGGGUGCGUAACGCGUAUGCAACCUACCUCAUACAGGGGGAUAGCCCGGAGAAAUCUGGAUUAAUACCCCAUAGUACAUAUAGAGGGCAUCUGAAAUAUGUUAAAGAUUCAUCGGUAUGAGAUGGGCAUGCGUCUGAUUAGCUAGUUGGCGGUGUAACGGACCACCAAGGCGACGAUCAGUAGGGGUUCUGAGAGGAAGGUCCCCCGCACUGGCCCUGAGAUACGGGCCAGACUCCUACGGGAGGCAGCAGUAGGGAAUAUUGGGCAAUGGUCGGAAGACUGACCCAGCCAUGCCGCGUGCAGGAAGAAGGCCCUCUGGGUUGUAAACUGCUUUUAUCUGGGAAGAAAAGGCCCGUGCGCGGGACAUUGCCGGUACCAGAUGAAUAAGCACCGGCUAACUCCGUGCCAGCAGCCGCCGUAAGAC
rnacentral:rRNA from 1 species